rnacentral:rRNA from 1 species
AAAGGAAUAGACGGGGACCCGCACAAGCGGUGGAGCAUGUGGUUUAAUUCGAAGCAACGCGAAGAACCUUACCAGGUCUUGACAUCCUUUGAAGCUUUUAGAGAUAGAAGUGUUCUCUUCGGAGACAAAGUGACAGGUGGUGCAUGGUCGUCGUCAGCUCGUGUCGUGAGAUGUUGGGUUAAGUCCCGCAACGAGCGCAACCCUUAUUGUUAGUUGCCAGCAUUCAGAUGGGCACUCUAGCGAGACUGCCGGUGACAAACCGGAGGAAGGCGGGGACGACGUCAGAUCAUCAUGCCCCUUAUGACCUGGGCUACACACGUGCUACAAUGGCGUAUACAACGAGUUGCCAACCCGCGAGGGUGAGCUAAUCUCUUAAAGUACGUCUCAGUUCGGAUUGUAGUCUGCAACUCGACUACAUGAAGUCGGAAUCGCUAGUAAUCGCGGAUCAGCACGCCGCGGUGAAUACGUUCCCGGGUCUUGUACACACCGCCCGU